GUGGGGAAUCUUGCGCAAUGGGCGAAAGUCUGACGCAGCCAUGCCGCGUGAAUGAUGAAGGUCUUAGGAUUGUAAAAUUCUUUCACCGGGGACGAUAAUGACGGUACCCGGAGAAGAAGCUCCGGCUAACUUCGUGCCAGCAGCCGCGGUAAUACGAAGGGGGCUAGCGUUGCUCGGAAUUACUGGGCGUAAAGGGCGCGUAGGCGGACAGCUUAGUCAGAGGUGAAAGCCCAGGGCUCAACCUUGGAAUUGCCUUUGAUACUGGCUGUCUUGAGUUUGGGAGAGGUGAGUGGAACUCCGAGUGUAGAGGUGAAAUUCGUAGAUAUUCGGAAGAACACCAGUGGCGAAGGCGACUCACUGGCCCAAUACUGACGCUGAGGCGCGAAAGCGUGGGGAGCAAACAGGAUUAGAAACCCGAGUAGUCC
rnacentral:rRNA from 1 species